ACCAGCAGAUCUCAGCUCAGACGUGAAAAUGAAAACCUGGGAAUGCUAUGGAUUUUAGUGUUUGUUUGUUUGUUUGUUUUUUCUUUUUUCUUUCAGAAGGAUACAGACCAGGAAAUUUCUGAAACACAAACAUAUGUUUGCACACUAACUCUAGUAAUUUUUUUUGAGUAAUUUAUUCACUGAUACAUGCCAGGGCAAGAGUUACAAAUCAGAAGUGUAUCUGCAAGGCAGAUUAUUUAUCUCCAAAGGAAACUCUUGCCAACUGAUCCCAGGCAGAAGAUUGGCUUUGGUUCUGCAAGCAGCUGCUCAUCUUCCCACUUUGCUGGAGAUUGCGUUAUAUAUACUACAUCUUAUUUGCCUAAAAAAACCCAGCAUGACCACAAGUUAACCUUGAAAUAUGUGAACUCUUGGAAAUCUACACAACUCUUACAGCCAACAAAAAAUAAAUCUAGUGAUGAGAUAUUAUUCUAAAGAUAAUGUCUUGUGAUCAGAGUUGACAUACUCGGAGAUCUGAGAUUUGUAGUACUUAGUGCAGAAUUAAUCUUAGCUGAUUCUGUUUUAAAUGUAGUAAGCCUCGUUUGCAAGAGAUAACAGUUACUUACCUCAAUGUUGGUGUAAGUCUUCCUAGGCUCAUGUCAAAGAAAACAAAAGUGAGGAGAAUCAGAAAGAACAUGGAAUCUCAUAAAUGAAGAUUUGAGAAGAAAAAUCCUUAUAUGUAGUUUUACUCCAGAAAGUGGUGGUACUCUGUUUAGACAUGAGAAACUGGCUUCAUAAUUUUAUUUGGGGAAUUAGUUAUGACCUUGACAUGUCAAGGUAAAAUGCCAAUUAUCACAUGCUUCCAAUGUUUUAUUUAGAAGAAUAUUAACCUAUUAAUUUAAUAUAUGUUAGAGCCUGAAUUAUUCUAAAUAAUACAUGAGACAAUCUGCACUUUGUUAAAACAUUCUGAAGUACUCUAAACUACUUGUUGAACAAUUUCAAAAAAUAGAAGCUGAAGAAAACCAAAAGUUGCAUUAUGCCACUUACAGAAGACAUACAGUAUUAGCAAAACUUUAAAAUUGCAAGUUUGAC